rnacentral:rRNA from 1 species
CCUACGGGGUGCAGCAGUGGGGAAUAUUGCACAAUGGGGGAAACCCUGAUGCAGCGACGCCGCGUGAGUGAAGAAGUAUUUCGGUAUGUAAAGCUCUAUCAGCAGGGAAGAAAAUGACGGUACCUGAUUAAGAAGCCCCGGCUAACUACGUGCCAGCAGCCGCGGUAAUACGGAGGAUGCGAGCGUUAUCCGGAUUUAUUGGGUUUAAAGGGUGCGCAGGCGGGCUGUUAAGCCGGCGGUAAAAAUUCAGGGCUCAACCCUGUCGAGCCGUCGGAACUGGCAGUCUUGAGUGGGCGAGAAGUAUGCGGAAUGCGUGGUGUAGCGGUGAAAUGCAUAGAUAUCACGCAGAACGCCGAUUGCGAAGGCAGCAUACCGGCGCCCAACUGACGCUGAGGCACGAAAGCGUGGGGAUCGAACAGGAUUAGAUACCCUUGUAGUC